GACGAACGCUGGCGGCGUGCUUAACACAUGCAAGUCGAACGGAAAGGCCCUUCGGGGUACUCGAGUGGCGAACGGGGGCGGAAGAGGUGGGUGAGCUGCCCUGCACUUUGGGAUAAGGCUGGGAAACUGGGUCUAAUACCGGUAAGGACCACGACAUUCAUGUGCUGUGGUGGGAAGCUUUGGCGGUGUGGGAUGGGCGCGCGGCCUAUCAUCUUGUUGGUGGGGUAGUGGCCUACCAAGGCGACGACGGGUAGCCGGCCUGAGAGGGUGACCGGCCACACUGGGACUGAGAUACGGCCCAGACUCCUACGGGAGGCAGCAGUGGGGAAUAUUGCACAAUGGGCGCAAGCCUGAUGCAGCGACGCCGCGUGAGGGAUGACGGCCUUCGGGUUGUAAACCGCUUUCGCCUGAGACGAAGCGCAAGUGACGGUACCUGGAGAAGAAGGACCGGCUAACUACGUG
rnacentral:rRNA from 1 species